rnacentral:rRNA from 1 species
GGUAACCCUGGGAAACUGGGGCUAAUACCGGAUAGGCAAUUUUUCCUGUAAUGGUUCUUUGUUUAAAUGUUUUUUCGCCUAAGGAUGGGUCUGCGGCCGAUUAGGUAGUUGGUUAGGUAAUGGCUUACCAAGCCGUUGAUCGGUACGGGUUGUGAGAGCAAGAGCCCGGAGAUGGAACCUGAGACAAGGUUCCAGGCCCUACGGGGCGCAGCAGGCGCGAAACCUCCACAAUGUGAGAAAUCGCGAUGGGGGGAUCCCAAGUGCCAUUCUUAACGGGAUGGCUUUUCAUUAGUGUAAAAAGCUUUUGGAAUAAGAGCUGGGCAAGACCGGCGCCAGCCGCCGCGGUAACACCGGCAGCUCUAGUGGUAGCAACUUUUAUUGGGCCUAAAGCGUCCGUAGCCGGUUUAAUAAGUCUCUGGUGAAAUCCUGUAGCUUAACUGUGGGAAUUGCUGGAGAUACUAUUAGACUUGAGACCGGGAGAGGUUAGAGGUACUCCCAGGGUAGAGGUGAAAUUCUGUAAUCCUGGGAGGACCGCCUGUUGCGAAGGCGUCUAACUGGAGCGGUUCUGACGGUGAGGGACGAAAGUUAGGGGCGCGAACCGGAUUAGAUACCCGGGUAGUCCUAACUGUAAACGAUGCGGACUUGGUGUUGGGGUGGCUUUGAGCUGUUCCAGUGCCGAAAGGGAAGCUGUUAAGUCCGCCGCCUGGGAAGUACGGUCGCAAGACUGAAACUU